GGCUGGUCUUUGCUGAGGAAAUGUAGGCUAGCUAACAGCUGUUUGUGCUGAAACCAGCUAGCCAGUUUGACUGUAGACAGCCGGGUUUAACCCUGUUCAGAAAAAAUUGAUUGCUCCUACAGACAGCGAGUCACGUGGCCUUGGCUUGAAAUAUAAAGCAGGCUGACCGGCAUUGAGGCAUUCAGUUACAGUUCAAUUGAACAUUAGAAUAAGCAAAACAAGUGACCUUUGAGCGUGGUAUGAUCGUCGGUGCAAAGUUCGCCGGAUCCAGUAUCUCAGAAAUGGCUGCCCUCCUGGGCUUUUCACACACGACAGUGUCUAGGGUUUACCGAGAAUGGUGUUACAAUCAAAAACAUCCAGUCAGCAGCAGUCCUGUGGGCGAAAACAGCUCGUUAGUGAAAGAGGUCGAUGGAGAAUGGCAAGAAUCAUGCAAGCUAACAGGCUGGCCACAAACAGACAAAUAACAGCACAGUACAACAGUGGUGUGCAAAACGACAUCACGGAACUCACAAGUUGUCAAUCCUUGUCAUGGAUGGGCUAUUGCAGCAGAUGACAACACUGGCAUGCAAUCACCAUCACUGGAUAAUUGAGGAACUGGGGUUGCCAGUUUCACCACACUGCCGUCUCUGGCUCCACACCAACCCCGCCAGGCCAUCUAGAUGUGUGAAAGUUAGUGUAUAAGCUAAUGGUCUAUCAUGUAUGACAUUCCUGGGAGUGUGUAAACAUUUGUGUAUGUUCUCUAUAGUUAUGUACUUGAAAAUGUAUCAAUUGACCAAUUCGGCACAUUUGGGCAAAGUCCUGGCAGACUUGAC
rnacentral:lncRNA from 1 species